ensembl:snoRNA LOC120095469 small nucleolar RNA U13
AUCCUUUCUUUGGUUCACAAGCAUGAUGUUUGAAUGUUCACUCUGUUGAGUGGCAUGCGUCACCCACAAACCUUGUUACCACAUAGGAACGAUACCCAUCUGAUG